rnacentral:rRNA from 1 species
CCUACGGGAGGCAGCAGUGGGGAAUAUUGCACAAUGGGGGAAACCCUGAUGCAGCGACGCCGCGUGAGUGAAGAAGUAAUUCGUUAUGUAAAGCUCUAUCAGCAGGGAAGAAAAUGACGGUACCUGAGUAAGAAGCCCCGGCUAACUACGUGCCAGCAGCCGCGGUAAUACGUAGGGGGCAAGCGUUAUCCGGAUUUACUGGGUGUAAAGGGAGCGUAGACGGCAGUGCAAGUCUGGAGUGAAAGGCGGAGGCUCAACCCCCGGACUGCUCUGGAAACUGUACGGCUGGAGUGCAGGAGAGGUAAGUGGAAUUCCUAGUGUAGCGGUGAAAGGCGUAGAUAUUAGGAGGAACACCAGUGGCGAAGGCGGCUUACUGGACUGUAACUGACGUUGAGGCUCGAAAGCGUGGGGAGCAAACAGGAUUAGAUACCCUUGUAGUC